AAAAAAAAAAAAAAAAAAGUUUCUUGAAACAUAUAUGACAAUGGGGUUAAGACUGAAGCUCUUGACUGGGAAGUGAAAGUUAAACUUGAAACAGAGAUGCCUGCAAAUUUGGCAUUGUGCUUUAGCAUUUAUUUAAUUUUAAAGUCUGGGGUCCGAUCCACAUGUUGCUCGUUAUGAAUCAUUUAAUUCUUAGAUUAAGUUGGUUGUGGGUAUUGUGGAGGUAUGAUGACUCAAGGCUUGAAGUGAUGGCCAACUUUUGUUCUCAUUAUGACCUUAUAAUUAAAUAAUAGAGCAUAAUCAAAAUGGGGAAGGA
rnacentral:misc_RNA from 1 species